UACAGAGGGUGCGAGCGUUGUCCGGAAUCACUGGGCGUAAAGGGCGCGUAGGCGGCCUGGUAAGUCGGGGGUGAAACGCUGCGGCUCAACCGCAGCACUGCCUUCGAGACUGUCAGGCUGGAGCACGGUAGAGGCUGGUGGAAUUCCCGGUGUAGCGGUGGAAUGCGUAGAGAUCGGGAAGAACAUCGGUGGCGAAGGCGGCCAGCUGGGCCGUUGCUGACGCUGAGGCGCGACAGCGUGGGGAGCAAACAGG
rnacentral:rRNA from 1 species